GACGAACGCUGGCGGCGUGCUUAACACAUGCAAGUCGAACGGAAAGGCCCUGCUUUUGUGGGGUGCUCGAGUGGCGAACGGGUGAGUAACACGUUAGUAACCUGCCCUUGACUUUGGUAUAACUUCAGGUAGCUGGGGCUAAUACCGUAUAGGAUCUCCUGCUGCAUGGUGGGGUUUGGAUCUUUGCGGCGGUUGGGGUUGGACUCGCGGGUUUUCGUCUUGUUGGUGGGGUAGUGGUUUACCAAGGCUGUGACGGGUACCCGGCAUGAGAGGGGGACCGGGAACAAGGGGACUAAGAUACGGACCAGACUCCAAUGGGAGGCAACGGGGGGGAGUAUGGAACAAGGGGAGGAAGUGUGAGGAGAAAACGCCGGGGUCGGAAAGACGGCUUGUGGGUGGAAAACCGCUGUCGCUUGUGACGAAGCGGGAGUGACGGUAAUGGGUAAAGAAGCACCGGCUAACUACGUG
rnacentral:rRNA from 1 species